GCUCCGGUCGCCUAGUGGUUAAAGUGUCCGCCUCAGAUGUGGGAGUUCAUGGGUUCAAUCCCCAGUUGAGUCA